UACAGAGGUGGCAAGCGUUGUUCGGAAUUACUGGGCGUAAAGCGCACGUAGGCGGAUUGUUAAGUCGGGGGUGAAAUCCUGAGGCUCAACCUCAGAACUGCCUUCGAUACUGGCGAUCUUGAGUUCGGAAGAGGUUGGUGGAACAGCUAGUGUAGAGGUGAAAUUCGUAGAUAUUAGCUAGAACACCAGUGGCGAAGGCGGCCAACUGGUCCGACACUGACGCUGAGGUGCGAAAGCGUGGGGAGCAAACAGG
rnacentral:rRNA from 1 species